rnacentral:rRNA from 1 species
UACGUAGGGUGCAAGCGUUGCCCGGAUUUAUUGGGCGUAAAGGGCGCGUAGGCGGCUCGGCACGUCCGUUGUGAAAUCGCCCGGCUCAACUGGGCGGGGUCAGCGGAUACGGCCGAGCUUGAGCAAGCUAGGGGGCAAUGGAAUUCCCGGUGUAGUGGUGGAAUGCGUAGAUAUCGGGAGGAACACCAGUGGCGAAGGCGGUGGCCUGGGGCUUUGCUGACGCGGAUGCGCGAAAGCGUGGGGAGCGAGCCGG